GCCGGGGUCGCUCCCCGUGCUGGCAAAGCCUGGUUACAAUUGUAACCAUCAUGAUGGAAUGACCACAGCGCCGGACUCAUAAUCCGGAGAUCGUGGGUUCGAAACGCCCACCCCCGGCA
rnacentral:tRNA from 1 species